CCUACGGGAGGCAGCAGUGGGGAAUAUUGGGCAAUGGGCGCAAGCCUGACCCAGCAAUGCCGCGUGAAGGAAGAAGGCUUUCGGGUUGUAAACUUCUUUUAAGAGGGAAGAGCAGAAGACGGUACCUCUUGAAUAAGCCACGGCUAACUACGUGCCAGCAGCCGCGGUAAUACGGAGGUUGCAGGCGUUGUCCGGAUGUAGUGGGGGGAACGGGCGUGCAGCCGGGAAGACAAGUCAGAUGUGAAAUCCCGCGGCUCAACCGCGGAACUGCAUUUGAAACUGUUUUUCUUGAGUACCGGAGAGGUCAGCGGAAUGCCUUGUGUAGCGGUGAAAUGCGUAGAUAUAAGGAAGAACACCAGUGGCGAAGGCAGAUGACUGGACGGCAACUGACGGUGAGGCGCGAAAGCGUGGGGAGCAAACAGGAUUAGAUACCCCUGUAGUC
rnacentral:rRNA from 1 species